CCUACGGGAGGCUGCAGUGAGGAAUAUUGGUCAAUGGACGAGAGUCUGAACCAGCCAAGUAGCGUGAAGGAUGACUGCCCUAUGGGUUGUAAACUUCUUUUAUAUGGGAAUAAAAUGUUCCACGUGUGGGAUUUUGUAUGUACCAUAUGAAUAAGGAUCGGCUAACUCCGUGCCAGCAGCCGCGGUAAUACGGAGGAUGCGAGCGUUAUCCGGAUUUAUUGGGUUUAAAGGGAGCGUAGGUGGAUUGUUAAGUCAGUUGUGAAAGUUUGCGGCUCAACCGUAAAAUUGCAGUUGAAACUGGCAGUCUUGAGUACAGUAGAGGUGGGCGGAAUUCGUGGUGUAGCGGUGAAAUGCUUAGAUAUCACGAAGAACUCCGAUUGCGAAGGCAGUUCACUGGACUGCAACUGACACUGAGGCUCGAAAGUGUGGGUAUCAAACAGGAUUAGAUACCCUUGUAGUC
rnacentral:rRNA from 1 species